CAAUCCUUCUCGCGAGUCUUUCCCGAUUCGUCUCACCCGUUCGCGUCUUCUCGUACGUCCGGCCGUCCGCGAUUUCUUCGGAACGACACGCGUACCAUCGACGUACCAUCCGAUUAUUCGAAAGAUAUUCGGUAGAAAUGCCGAGUGUAACGCAGAUGAGAAAAACGACGUGUAAAAGUGACGUGGUAACUCAUUCGCGAAAGUUUUGAUAACUUUGGAUAACUACUCAACGAGAACAAUUAUGAGUUUCUAGCGUUUUCCGCCACAUUGAAAUCGAAAGAGCUUCGGGAGGCGGUUUUCGGUUUUCGGCAGGCCAAGAUCGAGAGGGUAGGAGGGAAAGAGACUCGGCCCGGAGGGAGGAUCCGACGCGAAUAGUACGACGAUGGUUACAUUCUAUGGAUCAGAGAGCUCGAUAGCGUGCCGAAGUCGAGGCGAACGGCAAUAAAUCCAUUUUUCGUGAAGGGUCGGUCGAGGGGCGAGUGCGCGCCGGGGUCUGAUUAGCAGCCUGACUCGGCCGUACAGGAUGACAGCCGGUUCCCGCAUAUACUAAAGAAGAGGAUAAAUAUAAAUUAACCGACGUCGCGCUGCACACGAGGGAUACGCAGGACAAAGGGGUCGAUUCCUAGGUGCCCCUGAUCCCGCGGAGAUUCGCUGAUUCUCAAACGAAGGGAAGCGGGGAGGACGAUUGGGACUGCGCGCGAUUUGUCGUACGGAUUUGCGUGUUGCUGACAUGCUAUAAGAAUGAUUGUUGAACUACAUCGUUCGUGUUAUAUUAGGUUGCACAUUUAUCUACAAUUUGCAAUGCUACCA